rnacentral:rRNA from 1 species
GUCUGGCCUGCCCACUGAGAAUGAUUUAAGGGCUGCGGUAAUUUGACCGUGCGAAGGUAGCAUAGUAAAUAGUCUCUUAAUUGGAGGCUGGAAUGAAAGGUCGGACAAUAAGAAAGAUGUCUUUUAGAUAAAAUUCUGAAGUUAACUUUUAUGUGAAAAGGCAUAAAUAAUUUAAUGGGACGAUAAGACCCUAUAAAACUUGAUAGUUUAUAAUAGUUUUUUAAACUAUGGAAUAAAAAUGAAAUUAUUUAACUCUAUUUUGUUGGGGAGACGGAAAUAUAAAUUGAUAACUGUUUUUAAGAUUAAAUAAUUAUAAUUAGAUAUUGACCCUAAAGUUUAGGGUAGAAGUUUAAGUUACUUUAGGGAUAACAGCGUGAUUUUUCUUGAGAGUUCAUAUUGACAGAAGUAGUUGCGACCUCGAUGUUGAAUUAAAGAGUCGUCUAGGGGCAGGUGUUUAGAUGGAAGGUCUGUUCGACCUUUAAAACUUUACAUGAUUUGAGUUCAAACCGGUGUGAG